AUACAGAUUUCAUAAAAUUAUUUUUUCUUUUCUUUUCUUUUUUUAUAUAUAUAUAUAUAUUUUAUAAAGACGGGGUUUCACCAUGUUGAUCAGGCUGGUCUUGAACUCCUAACCUCAGGUGAUCCGCCUGCCUUGGCCUCAAAAGUGCUUGGAUUACAGGCGUGAGCCACCACACCCAGCCCAUAAAUGUUUUAAAUCAUUUUUUCCUUAAGUGUGAAUGAUUUAGACUUUCAUUUGAAUGAAGGAUUAUAUUCUCUGAACUUGGUAGCUGGUGCUUAAAAUGAUUGUUUAGCUGCAAUAUUUUUGAUUUUCCACUAAGUAGAACAUACUUAAAUAAUCUUGAUUAAUUGUUGAGAAUUUGAAUUAAUUAAAACUAAAUUCAGGGCACAAAAGUUACAUAGCUAAAGAACAAAAAGUAUCCUUUGGAUUUGGCUGUUACAAAGUCAUUGGCAGUCCUGGAGCAAUUUUGAAGAAGUGUUUUGCAUAGAAGUAAUGGGAUUCAGAAAGAGUUGUAAGUGAGAAAGUGGCAACAAUAGUGCAGGUACAUUUUUAGGAAUAGUGGCUAUGAAUGGAAAGUGAUACGUAUGUAAGGGAUGUACCUGAAUUAUAGGUACAUGUUCUGUAUGAAUGAAACUUGGGUUUGAACCUAGCCUCUUCACUCUCUUUAGUAUGUAGAUUAGCCAGUUAAUCCUAGUUUCUUAUCUGUAAAAUUGGAAUAUAUUACCUACCUUAUAAGGCGGUUCUGUGGAAAUGAGGAAAUACAUGUAUGUAAAGUGUACAGUAGAGUCCCCCAAAAAGAGUAGGAACACAAUAACUUCCAGAAUUCUCUUCCCAACAUUUUUACAAAAGGAAGCCAUGAUGGAUCUCUUAACUGGUUCUUGUUUGUUUGUUUGCCAGUAUUAAACCUCUUGUUUUUAUCACAGUAUGAAAAAUAAUUUUUAACCAUUUUUGGAGAAGAAUGUUCUUUUAUUUGUAAAGAAAAUUUGUUUUCUAGUAUGACACCCUCAAGGCACCAUAUCUCUAUGUAGACAUUGUGCCCAGUGCUACACAGACAUUAUUUUAAAACUAUUUUCCACCUUUGGUAAAUAGACUAAACUGUUUUCUUUAUUCCUCAGAAGAAUUAGGUCAUACUUCAGUGUUGAUUUUGUUGCUAAUGGGACAUGGGAUGUCUGGAUGAUAAUAAAUAUUUUUGUGGUGUGGCCACUGAAACCUUUAAGAGUUAUACUGUGGUUUGUAUGUGAAGAAGUCACUCAAAUCCUCCUAUCAGACAGCUUCCUUACUCAUAUAGGAAACCUCUGUUUCAUUAGGAGAUGAAUAUGACAUUUCAUUUUAGUUGUUCUUGUUGACGUACAACAUUUUUCUUCUCUGAAAUAGCAUGUUUUUAUUAUAACUUGCUUGCUUGCCAUUAUUAGAUAUUUUUGUUCAGCCAUCAACUGAAACACUCAGAAAUCAUGCUUUAUAGUAACAAUAUAAUUUUUCAUAUCUAUAUUAUUAAAAUUUAGAUUGAUUCUUUCUUUAAGACAGAGUCUUAUUGUCACCCAGGCUGGAGUGCAGUGGCACGAUCCUGGCUCACUGCAGCCUCUGCUUCCCAGGUUCAAGUGAUUCUCCUGCCUCAGCCUCCGGAGUAGCUGGGAUUAUAGUUGCACACCACCAUGGCCUGGCAGAUUUUUGUAUUUUUAAUAGAGAUGAGGAUUCACAAUGUUGGCCAGGCUGGUCUCAAACUCCUGACCUUGUGAUCCACCCACCUCAGCCUCCCAAAGUGCUGGAAUUACAGACGUGAGCCACUGCGCCUGGCGUAGAUCUAAUUUUUAUACAAGAAAAUGCAGUUCUGCCUCUCAGAACCUUCCUGCUGCUGCAUUUGCACCUCACUGCUCUAGCCUCUGGGGCACAUUCCAUCCUUUCAGCCUGCAACCAGCAGAGAAAAAAAAUUACAUAUUUUAUUGCCCCGUACAUACCUUGAGGCAAGCAAAAAAAUUAAAUUUUAACCAUGAGGGAAAUUGUGCACAUUCAGGCUGGUCAGUGUGGCAACCAGAUUAGUGCCAAGUUCUGAGAUGUGAUCAGUGAUGAUCGUGGCAUCGAGCCCACUGACAUCUAACAUGAGGACAGCACCUGCAGCUGGACUGCAACUCCAUGUACUACAAUGAAGCCACAGGUGCCAGAUAUGUUCCUUGUGCUAUCCUGGUGGAUAUAGAACCUGGGACCAUGGACUGUGCUAGCUCAGGCCCUUUUGGCUAGAUGUUUAGAUCAGACAUCUUCGUUUUUGGUUAGUCUGGGACAGGCAACAACUGGGCCAAAGGACGCUACAUAGAGGGGGCCGAGCUGGUUGAUUCAGUCCUAGAAGUGGUGCAGAAGGAGGCUGAGAGCUGUGACUGCCUUUAGGGCUUCCAGCUGACCCACUCACUGGGUGGGGGCACAGGCUCUGGAAUGGGCAAGCUCCUUAUCAGCAAGAUCCGAGAGCACCCUGAUUGCAUUAUGAACACCUUCAGUGUGGUCCCUUCACCCAAAGUGUCUGACACUGUGGUUGAGCCCUGCAACACUACUCUCUCCAUCUAUCAGUUGGUAGAGAACACUGAUGAGCCUACUGUAUUGAUAACAAGGCCCUCUAUGAUAUCUGCUUCCGUACUUUGAAGCUGACCAUACCAACCACCUUGUCUCAGCCACCAUAAAUGGUGUUACCACCUGCCUCUGCUUACCUGGCCAGCUCAAUACUGAGCUCUGCAAGUUGGCAGUCAACCUGGAGCCCUUCCCAUAUCUCCACUACUUCAUGCCUGGCUUUGCCCUCUCACCAGCCGUGGAAGCCAGCAGUAUCAAGCUCUCAUAGUGUCCGAACUCACCCAGCAGGUCUUCAAUGCCAAGAACGUGAUGGCUGCCUAUGACCCGCUUAUAUCUCAGCGUGGCGCUGUCUUCAUGGAUGGAUGUCUAUGAAAGAGGUUGAUGAGCAGAUGCUCAACGUACAGAACUAGGACAGCAGCUAAUUGUGGAAUGCAUCCCCAACAACAUUAAGACAGCUGUCUGUGACAUCUCACCUCAUGACCUCAAGAUGGCAGUCACCUUCAUCGGCAACAGCAUGGCCAUCCAGGAGCUCUUCAGGGGCACCUUGGAGCAGCUCACUGCCAUGAUCUGCUGGAAGAUCUUCCUCCACUGGUACACAGGCAAGGGCCUGGAUGAGAUGGGAGUUCACUGAGGCUGAGAGCAACAUGAACAACCUUGUCUCUGAGUAUCAGCAGUACCAGGAUGCCACCGCAGUAAAGGAGGAUGAUUUCUGUGAGGAGGCUGAUGAGGAGGCCUAAGGCAGAGCCCCCAUCACUUCAGGCUUCUCAGUUCCCUUAGCCAUCUUACUCACCUGCCCCUUUUCUCUCCCUCAGAAUUUGUGUUUGUGGCCUCAAUCUCGUUUUCUGUUUUUUUCUUUUCUUUUGGGGGAUGUAGAACAGUGCCUGGCACACAGUAGGUGCUCAACAAAUACUUGUUUGUGGAAUGUUUCCUCUAUCUUUCUUCUCUGGGAAGUCUAGGUUACUGCCAUUUUGGGUGACCCUGUAUUUCCUUCCAGUGCCCAUCCCUUUCAUCUGUCCAGUUAAUAUUUCCCUUUUUUAAAAUCUGCAAGAAGCUGGCUCUCAUCAAGAUCUCAUUUAGAACCAACUGGGUUUUGAAAGCCUAGGUAGAUAAUGGCCACCAUCCUAAGCCCAAAGUUGAAGAUGGUAGAAGAUGGCAGGUAGAAGUCACGGCAAGGAAGGGGAUGGGAUUUUCCAUCCUAAAAGUUUUGAGAGAGAAAUCCAGGCUAUUAAAGUCAUAAUUUCCAGAUGUUUUCAUUUUCCAUUUCUCAGCUUCAAGGGAGGAGAAGUAGUAUUUUCUCCAUUUCCAAACUUCCUCCAAGCUCUACCCUUUGGAGAGGUCUGCCUCACUCUGUCAAUUUUUCCCUCUCUGACUCUACCUCCCUCACACAUUGAAUUCCUCCCUUUCUCCUGAUCAGAGAAGGGGAUCAAGAGGGGAAAGAGAACCAGCCUUGGUCCCUAGGCCUCCAGAAAUGCCCCCAAUCCCCACAUUUUCUUAACCCCAGAAAAAAUUAACAUCCUUGACUUUAGGUGAAUGGUGUAUACUGCCACAUCAGUGUUUGAGUCAUUCUCCAGAGGAGAGGGGAACCCUCCUCCAUCUUUUUUGCAACAUCUCAUAUCUUCCUUUUGCUGUUGCUUUUCCCCCCUUAUGCUUAGUUUUGUUCUAUGCUACACUUUAGAUUUCUAUUUUGUGUUAAACUUGCUGUUUUUUUCAUACUGAAAAGGUGACAUUGCACCAAGAACCAAAAAUAAAUGGGAAUUGGAAAAAAAAAUCCACAAUUCUUGCCAAAACGUGCACACUGAUGUUUAUAGCAGCAUUAUUCAUAAUAGUCAAAAGCUGGAAACAACCCAGAUGUCUAUCAUCAACUGAUGAACAAAAUGUGGUAUAUUUAUUUUUAUUUUUUUAGAUUUUUUUUGAAAUAGUCUCACUCUGUCCCGAAGGCUGGAGUGCAGUGGUGUGAUCUUGGCUCACUGCAACCUCCACUUCCCUUGUUCUAGUGAUUCUCCUGCUCCAGCCUCCUGAAUAGCUGAGACUCCAGUGCCUGCUACCACAUCCAGCUAAUUUUUGUAUUUUUAGUAGAGAUGGGGUUUCUUUAUGUUGGCCAGACUGGUCUCAAACUCCUGAUCUCAAGUGAUCCACCCACCUCAGCCUCCCAGGUGUGAGCCACUGCGUCUGGCCAAAAUGUGGUAUAUUUAUACUAUGGAAUAUUUUUUGGCCAUGAAAGGAAUGAGGUACUGACAUAUGCUACAAUAUAGAACUUUGAAAACAUUUUUAAAUUCCAUUUUUAUGAUAUGUCCAGAAUAGGCAAAUCUGUAGGACAGAAAAUAGGUUAGUGGUUGCUUAGGACUAGGGAACACAGGAGAGAUACCUAAAGGGUAUAUGUGGAGUUUCUUUUUAGAUGAUGAAAAUGUUCUAAAAUUGAUUGUGGUGAUAGCUGCACAACUCUGAAUACACUAAAAAAAUCACUGAAUUGUACACUUUAAAUCGAUAAUUGUUUUUGACAAUUAUAUACAUCCAGGUAGCAACCAGCCAAAACAAGAUCAAGAACAUUUUCAUUACCCCAAAAAGUUCUAGCCUGCCUAUUUCCAGUCAAUCCUGUGGCCUCCCUGAAACACUUCUCUCUCACUUUCCACCACCACCAGGCUGAGAUGUUUGACUUCUCGCGUGGCAGAUUAGUUUUGCUGAUCCUAGAACUUCAUAUAAAUGGAAUCAUACAGUGCAUGUAUGUAUUCUUUUGUGCUUGGUUUCAUUCAGCAGAUUAUAAAAUUAAUCCAAGGUUUUCUUUUUAUUAGUAGUUCUUUUUUAUUGCCAAAUAGUAUUCUAUUGUUGAAAUAUAUCAGUUUGCAUAUCUAUUGUCCUGUGGAUGGAUAUUUGAAUUGCUUCCUGUUUAGGGCUGCAUGAAUAAGAUUGCUAUGAAUGUUUGUAUACAAGUCUAUUUUCAGACAUAUAUUUUAAUUUUUCUUGGGAUAAUAACUUGGAGUGAAAUUGCUGGGUCAUAGGACAGAUACAUAUUUAACUUUAUGAGUAACUGUCAAAUAAGGCUAGGCGCCGUAACUCACACCUGUAAUCCCAGCACUUUGGGAGGCCGAGGUGGAAGGACUGCUUGAAGCCAGGAGUUUGAGACCAGCUUUGGCAGCAAAACAAGACUUCAUCUCUACAAAAUAUUAAAAAAUUAACUGGGAGCAGUAGCAUGCACCUGUAGUCCCAGCUACCCAGGAGGCUGAGGUCGCGGGAUUGCUUGAGCCCAGGAGAUCAAGACUGCAGGGAUACUUACUGCAGCAUUGUUUGCAAUAACAAACUUGACACAACUUAUAUGUCUAUCAAUAAUUGAAUUACUAGGUUUCUUACAAUGGAAAUAGUAUGUAGGCAUUAAAAAGAAUAAAGGCUAUAAGUGAUAAUACAGAAAGAUUUUUAAGAGGUGCCAGGCAUGGUGGUGCAUGCCUAUACACCCCAGGAGUUUGAGACCAGCCUGGGCAACAUGGUGAAAACCUGUCUCUACAAAAAAUACAAAAAUUAGUCAGGCGUAGUGGCACACAUCUGUGGUCCCAGCUAUCUGUGUUUUUUCAUACUUUCACAAGUAUAUCCAUUGUGUCACUGGGUAGUAUGUAUUUAAAAAUUAGUUGAGAUUGCCAAAUAUUCUUCAGAAAAGAUUGAACCAAUAUAUAUUUCCAAUAACAGUAUGAGAAUGCCUCUUUUCCUUCAGUCUUGUCAGUAUUGGAUUUUUUUUUCUCAAAUGUUAAAAAUUUUGCCAAUAUUGACAGAUCAUCUGUUUGUCUUCCCUGGGUACUGAAAAGGUAACCUAAAACACUCCAGGAAGAUAGAAUUUACUCAAUUUUUAAAUAUUCAAAGAGAGACUCACAUUUCCUGCAGUAUCCUUUGAUAGCCCUUUCUAACAUUUGAGUCUACACUGUUGGUAAAUUUUUCCUUUUAUCAUUAGUCUUUGAGGUAUCACGUCUAGUGAUGGUGUAGCAUUUUGUGGGAAAAACUUACAAAUCUUGAUGACUUGAGUUGUAGUCUGAAUAGGAAUGAGGAAUUAUUGAAAAGUAAAUGUUUCCUUGCUACAUAUUGAGGAUUUGGAUAUAUUUUGAGUAAAUCUGGCACAUGGCCACUAGCUGUAGUGUGCCCCAAGAAAGAAUUCAGACUCCUUGAAUAUAUAUCACAAUGACAGUUAUAAGUAGCUUAAACAUUUUUUCCCUAGUUACUUGGAUAACAAACUGCAAUAGGAUUCUAAGAGAUUCAGAAAAUGGUCAAGUAAGUUCCAAAAUAUGUUAAGACUGGUGGUGAGAGUAUACGGUUCUCUUCUGUAAAUGGGAUUAAUUUAAUUGUAAGACAAUGUUACUUUGGUUGGGAACUCAGUAUUAGGGAAUUAGCUUUAAAAUUAAAGCUUUGUCUGACAAAGGGUUGAUAUCCAGAAUCUACAAAGAACUAAAACAGAUUUACAAGAAAAAAACAAACAAGCCCAUUCAAAAGUGGGCAAAGGAUAUGAACAGACACUUUACAAAAGAAGACAUACAUGAGGCCAACAAUCAUAUGAAAAAAUGCUCAUCAUCACUGGUCAUUAGAGAAAUGCAAAUCAAAACUACAUUGAGAUACCGUCUCACGCCAGUUAGAAUGGCGAUCAUUAAAAAGUCUGGAGACAACAGAUGCUGGAGAGGAUGUGGAGAAAUAGGAACACUUUUACACUGUUGGUGGGAGUGUAAAUUAGUUCAACCAUUGUGGAAGACAGUGUGGCGAUUCCUCAAGGACCUAGAAAUGGAAAUUCCAUUUGAGCCAGCAAUCCCAUUACUGGGUAUAUAUCCAAAGGAUUAUAAAUCAUCCUACUAUAAGGACAUAUGCACAUAAAUGUUCAUUGCAGUACAGUUUACAAUAGCAAAGACCUGGAACCAACCCAAAUGCCCAUCGACGAUAGACUGGACAGGGAAAAUGUGGCACAUAUACACCAUGGAAUAUUAUGCAGCCAUCAAAAACAAUGAGUUUGUGUCCUUUGUAGGGACAUUGAUGAACCUAGAAACCAUCAUUCUCAGCAAACUGACAUAAGAACAGAAAAUCAAACACCACAUGUUCUCACUCAUAGGUGGGUGUUGAACAAUGAGAACACGUGGACACAGGGAGGGGAGCGUCACA